UGCUGAAAAGUUGUAAUUAAUGUCUCAUUUACAUCGAGUUGAAGGCUUAGGCUAUUUGGCGG
rnacentral:tRNA from 1 species